AUGGGAACUACUGUUGACCAUUCUGUAAAUGAUGGUAAUGGUCCAAAUAUAUACAAAAUAAACGGGCAGGUUUGUCAUCGAAUGGGAUCUCUUAUGCCUAAGGAAGGAAAUUACCCUAAGUAUGCCGAACUCUAUAUAUAUGAUACCCAUAAUGAGGUGCAAAACAGGAUUCAGGCUUUAGAAAAGGGUGAAAAGAGUGAUGGUGGUUUAGAUGAAUCUAUUGUUGAAGGCUUGAUGCAUAUGCUUGAUACACACAAUUCUUAUGUCAAAACGUUUAGAUCAGCUAGAGAAAUACUAGCAGCCAAUAAGCAUGCCGAGAUAGCCAUUCAUUUAGUUGCCCCUGGAGAAUCUGAUGGCCCACAGUUUAGCCUUCCUACAACUGACGAGCUAGCAUCUUUAAUGUUUGGUGAGUUCACGGUGGAGGCUUCUUGUCGUGACAUAAUAAUACACGGUAGAGAUGACAAUCUGCAGCAAAUAUCUUCUUUGCAAACUUCAUAUAUGCCUUUGCAGUAUCCUCUUCUCUUCCCCUAUGCAGAACGUGGGUUUCAGCUCGGGCUUAAAUAUAUUGGUUCAGACCCUUUAGAUACUAGCAAAAGAACCAGGCUCACUAUGCAGGACUAUUAUUCCUAUUGUCUCCACUAUAGACCAGAGCAGCAUAAUCCAUACCUUUAUUGUGGUUUCCUUUCCUCACAGGCCAUUGUAGAUGCACGCGCUUGCAUAGACGAGUGGAGGCUGCAUUUCAUCAUGAAGGCUAAUAAUGAUCUUAGAGCAGAGAACUUGCAAGGAGUCACUGAUGCUGUUGGAAAAGGGCAGACAGAUGCAAGUUUUGUUGGCAAAGAAAAACAUACUUCCAUCCUGUUUUACCGGUGGCCGGCGUUAUAUGAUUGA
rnacentral:rRNA from 1 species